AAACCAGCACCUCAAGUGGUCAGGAGGAUUAUUGGGCCUAAAGCAUCCGUAGCCUGCUUUGUAAGUUUUCGGUUAAAUCCAUAUGCUCAACAUAUGGGCUGCCGGGAAUACUGCACAGCUAGGGAGUGGGAGAGGUAGACGGUACUCCAUAGGAAGGGGUAAAAUCCUUUGAUCUAUGGAAGACCACCUGUGGCGAAGGCGGUCUACCAGAACACGUUCGACGGUGAGGGAUGAAAGCUGGGGGAGCAAACCGGAUUAGAAACCCCUGUAGUCC
rnacentral:rRNA from 1 species